GAGGGUAUAGCUCAGUGGUAGAGUGCAUGCCUAGUAUGCAAGAGGUCCUGGGUUCAAUCCUCAGUACCUCCG
rnacentral:tRNA from 1 species